UAGAUAAACUAGUCCAAAUUCAACUGAAUUUUCUUAGCGGGAGUUAACAUUUUUACUGUGAUGUCAUUGAGUCGAUCAAACCCUAGAUUUCUUCGCGCCAAUUCUCUAAUGGUUUAUUUUAAUAUCAACUUGCUUCAAUGGCCUCCAGAGUAGUUACCUUCUGCUCGUUUAGUGGAGGGCGUUCGUUGAUAUGGUUUUGAUGUACUUGGCUUCGAUUUCAGUUUCUUUUUGCUUGACUUGUACCGCCAGUAAGAGAUUAAUGUCGAGGCAAUAGGUUGAUCUAGAAUAAUUAUACUCUUAUGUAAAAGGAGAUCACUUUGAUUUCAAUUGUUUAUUUUCAUUUUAGUUGGUAUUAGGUGGAGAAAGAAUAAAGUGAAGAUCAUAGAUUAAACAAGAGGCUACUUGUUAUGCAAUAAUAUAAUAUGGUGAAUCUAUAUGUAACAUUGAGUAAGGAGGAAGUAUUUAACUUUACACUAUAUUUGCACUAUGGGAAAUAAGAAGUUUUUUAAAUGGACAUAUUACUAUUUGUAAAUUAGCCUCUUCUAUAUAGAAGUUUUAAUGAUCGUACCGACAAUUUUUUUCCGUCUAAAAGCUAGCUAUAUGAACAACUGUUCAUAGAGUGGUACCUGGGUCUUUGAAGGAGUAUUACCUUAAAGGCUUGUCUUUUUGUCUCAACUUUUGAUGAAACACCAAUUUGUUCAGACUUGAUUAUCUGGACUUAGGUAAUAAAUUGAGCUUGGUGGGGGUAAUAUAUUAACGCUUCAACCGCCAAGAUUUGCUUCCUUUUGUAUAUUGCUGCUACUUUACCAUUUUCACCAGUAUCUAAUAAUCUAGUCAGUGAUCACUUAUCAGUUUUUCUGUUUGAGACCUUCUGUUUUAUCUUAACCAAAACAUCUAGCUCUUGACAGUGGUUUUGUAUUUGUGGUCAUGUAUAUCUUGUUUAAAGGAUUGACAACACUGUGAAAUUGUUCAAUAAACCAACCAACUUGGUAGUUGGAACCUGAUAGACCCUACAGGAGCAGGGUUAGGGAUUAAUCGAUAGAGCCGAUUUAACUCCCUUCUGUUGAUGCCUGUUUCCUCUUCCAUAACUCUAAGAAUGAAUUAAGUGUAAUGUACCGAAGAAGCACAUCCCUGUAACAUAUUCUAUUCUGAUCAUGUAUCAGGCGUUCAGACUAAUAGUCUACUUUAAGUGAGACAGCAUGAAACAUUCAUUAUUCAAUAGUAUUUUCUCCUUGGCCAUGAAGUCUGUAUCAACUAUCAUGUAUAAACAAUCCGCUUCAGACCAUGUCUGUCCUCUUAAUCAUGUUUUAAAAAGUUUAAAGUUUCUUUUACUUCUUUAAUUAAUCCAAUGCUUACCAACUGGUUAACUCUCAUUCGAUCUGUAAAAUUCUAGAUUAAAAAACUUAACACCCAUGCAUCAUGGCACGGUUAUAGUUUUUUAAGUGAAAAUCGAGUCAAGUUGAGAAAAAGAAAAAGUGAAUUCAAGGUGAAGGAAAGAGAGAGUCAAGCUGAAGGCAGGUCUAGUACUUUCAUAGGCUUUGGAUGUGUGUGGAGGCUAUAGGGUGUCUCUGUUUCUUCCGUAACUAACAUUCAGUUAUAGAAUUUGAUCCAUCAUCUCCUUUUUUUUCCCCUCCAUUUUCUCUUAUACCCAACCCUAACUGUAAUAGAGGCACCGGUAAAUUUGGAACAUAUUGAACACAUAUCAUGCACACAUAUGGGAAAACGAAAUAGAAUUUAGUGGGAUGAUGAUAGCAGAAUAUAUUGAUAAUAUAUCUCAUUCAAAUUAAACAUAAGUAAUAUGUUUAUGAUACAUUACAUCGAAGAACAUAAAACUUAUUGGAACUCGUACAAAUAACCAUGAACUAGAAAGUAAAAAUAGGCACUACCUAGAGGCUAGGUGUAUAAUCAUGCAUGAAUGUUACAAUGCUCACUGGACUAUGAGUGGUGAAAGAAAGCUAAGUUUUCUAUUUUGGAGCCUUACUAUACAGGUCAGAGUUUGCUUGACAUGAUAUUACCGGUUUUGACAUAGAUAACAUGAUUAACUCUAAAUUAACCAGUUAGAGACAUAUUCUCAUGUUGGUAAGAAGUAACAAACUGAUCACUAGGGGAGAAAAACAUCUUACUUUCAUCUCCCUCCAUUCUCCAUAGCGUGUCUGGGCAAUAUUCCCAUAGAGGAGAAGCCAUUGGAGGUCUGUCACUGUAGCCACUGAAAACUGGUUUUAUUGGUUCUUCUGAAGUGAUAUCUUUCCAUAUAUCAUCCAUUGAAUAAUAUUCUUCCUCCUCGCUCUCAUCUUUCUGAUACUUCUUUCCUUGCAGAGCAGAGAUAUCAGGAACUGUGCUGUCAAAGCUUUCUGUCGUCUCAGUAGCGAUUUUUGAAUUCACUGCUCGGAUGUUUGAUGAAGAGAAGGAAUUUGAUGUUGUUGAUGUUGAUGAUGAUGAUGAUGGGGAUGUUUCUUGCUUCUUCUCUUGUGCUUUCUUCCUCAUAUGUGUUCUCCAAUAGUUCUUUAUUUCAUUAUCAGUUCUCCCGGGUAGUCUCCGAGCAAUUCGUGACCAUCUGCAUGUGAUCAGAAGGAUAUUGAAGUACAUACCUAUUUCCCCACUGAGAAUGAAGUUCAAGGACGAGUUUCUCUUCAUGAGGAGUCAUCUUUCCUCUUUUGAGCCCAGGAUGCAGGUAAUUAACCCAUCGUAAUCGGCAGCUCUUACCUGUUCUUUUUAAACCUACAAGAAAACUGUGGUUAAAAUGGAUGCUCCUUGUAAAAGGUCCCCAUUCUUCAUAUAAGCAUACCUAUCAUUUUUCUCCCGCCACCUUCAAACCUGAAACUUUAGCUAUGAAAUCCCAUCGCCGGUCCCCAAAUAAUCCCACAAAGCAGACCAGUUGAAGGUCUUCUUGCUCUGUCCAUGGACCCUUCCGGAUUUCUUCUUGAACCAUUCUGACCUUUUAGUUCCUUUAG